rnacentral:rRNA from 1 species
GCCUGUAUGAAGUUGGAAUCGCUAGUAAUCGCGGAUCAGCAUGCCGCGGUGAAUACGUUCCCGGGCCUUGUACACACCGCCCGUCACACCAUGAGAGUCGGGAACACCCGAAGUCCGUAGUCCAACCGCAAGGGGGACGCGGCCGAAGGUGGGUUCGAUAAUUGGGGUGAAGUCGUAACAAGGUACC